rnacentral:rRNA from 1 species
UACGGGGGGGGCAAGCGUUGUUCGGAAUUACUGGGCGUAAAGGGCUCGUAGGCGGCCAACUAAGUCAGACGUGAAAUCCCUCGGCUUAACCGGGGAACUGCGUCUGAUACUGGAUGGCUUGAGAUUGGGAGAGGGAUGCGGAAUUCCAGGUGUAGCGGUGAAAUGCGUAGAUAUCAGGAGGAACACCGAUGGCGAAGGCAGUGUUCUGGGCCAGUACUGACGCUGAGGAGCGAAAGCGUGGGGAGCAAACAGG